UAUCUCACAAGUGUCUGCCUUAUCAACUUUCGAUGGUAGUUUAUGUGCCUACCAUGGUUGUAACGGGUAACGGAGAAUAAGGGUUCGACUCCGGAGAGGGAGCCUGAGAAACGGCUACCACAUCCAAGGAAGGCAGCAGGCGCGCAAAUUACCCACUCUCGGCAUGAGGAGGUAGUGACGAAAAAUAACGAGACCGUUCUCUUUGAGGCCGGUUAUCGGAAUGGGUACAAUUUAAACCUGUUAACGAGGAUCUAUGAGAGGGCAAGUCUGGUGCCAGCAGCCGCGGUAAUUCCAGCUCUCAAAGUGUAUAUCGUCAUUGCUGCGGUUAAAAAGCUCGUAGUUGGAUCUGCGUCUUAGGACUUGGUCCAUCCGAUUGGAUGUGAACUAAGAACCUAGACUAAUAUUUAGCUAGUUUUACUGUAUGUUACCUUAAUUGGUUGCAUAUAGUGGCUGGCAUGUUUACCUUGAAAAAAUUAGAGUGCUUAACGCGGGCUUAUAAUGCUUGAAUACUCGUGCAUGGAAUAAUGAAAUAGGAUCUUGAUUGUUGUAUGCCUAUUUUGUUGGUUUAAUACAUAAAUACAAUUGAGAUAAUGGUUAAGAGGGACGGACGGGGGCAUUCGUAUCGCUGCGUGAGAGGUGAAAUUCUUGGACCGUAGCGAGACGCCCAACUGCGAAAGCAUUUGCCAAGAAUGUCUUCAUUAAUCAAGAACGAAAGUCAGAGGUUCGAAGGCGAUCAGAUACCGCCCUAGUUCUGACCGUAAACGAUACCAACUAGCGUUCCGUUGGCGGUAAAUACGCCUUGACGGGCAGCUUCCCGGAAACGAAAGUUUUUCGGUUCCGGGGGAAGUAUGGUUGCAAAGCUGAAACUUAAAGAAAUUGACGGAAGGGCACCACCAGGAGUGGAGCCUGCGGCUUAAUUUGACUCAACACGGGAAAACUCACCUGGCCCGGACACCGUGAGGAUUGACAGAUUGAAAGCUCUUUCAUGAUUCGGUGGUUGGUGGUGCAUGGCCGUUCUUAGUUGGUGGAGUGAUUUGUCUGGUUUAUUCCGAUAACGAGCGAGACUCUAGCCUACUAAAUAGUUUAUGCUGGAUAAAUGUAUUCGUACGCUAGUCCAGACAACUUCUUAGAGGGACAAGCGGUGUUUAGCCGCAUGAAGUUGAGCAAUAACAGGUCUGUGAUGCCCUUAGAUGUCCAGGGC
rnacentral:rRNA from 1 species